rnacentral:pre_miRNA from 1 species
CUUGUACUCCCUCCGUCAGAAAAUACUUGUCAUUGAAAUGGAUGUAUCUAGAUGUAUUUUAGUUCUAGACACAUCCAUUUUGAUGACAAGUAACUCCGGACGGAGGGAGUACUUG